rnacentral:rRNA from 1 species
AGUUUGAUCAUGGCUCAGAUUGAACGCUGGCGGCAUGCCUUACACAUGCAAGUCGAACGGCAGCACGGGAGCUUGCUCCUGGUGGCGAGUGGCGAACGGUGAGUAAUACAUCGGAACGUACCCUGAAGUGGGGAUAACGUAGCGAAAGUUACGCUAAUACCGCAUAUUCUGUGAGCAGGAAAGAGGGGGAUCGCAAGACCUCUUGCUUUAGGAGCGGCCGAUGUCGGAUUAGCUAGUUGGUGAGGUAAAGGCUCACCAAGGCGACGAUCCGUAGCGGGUCUGAGAGGAUGAUCGCCACACUGGGACUGAGACACGGCCCAGACUCCUACGGGAGGCAGCAGUGGGGAAUUUUGGACAAUGGGCGCAAGCCUGAUCCAGCCAUGCCGCGUGAGUGAAGAAGGCCUUCGGGUUGUAAAGCUCUUUCGGUGGGGAAGAAAUUGCUUCGGUUAAUACCUGGAGUAGAUGACGGUACCCGCAUAAGAAGCACCGGCUAACUACGUG